GUUUUACUGAGGUAACGAACAUGAAAAGUGAAGAAACUAGAUUGUAAGAUAUUAUACAGUAUAUUAUAUAUCUCAAAAAGCAAUGAAGUUCUUGCUGCAUCUAGGAUUUUUCUUUCUGUAUUGAAGAUACAUUUAUCUAAUCAAGAAGAAGCAUUUCUCAUCACUCCACAAUUUGAUAGAAAAGAAACAAAAGAUAGAUGAGAAAACAUGGAAU
rnacentral:misc_RNA from 1 species